GACGAACGCUGGCGGCGUGCUUAACACAUGCAAGUCGAACGGAAAGGCCCUGCUUUUGUGGGGUGCUCGAGUGGCGAACGGGUGAGUAACACGUGAGUAACCUGCCCUUGACUUUGGGAUAACUUCAGGAAACUGGGGCUAAUACCGGAUAGGAGCUCCUGCUGCAUGGUGGGGGUUGGAAAGUUUCGGCGGUUGGGGAUGGACUCGCGGCUUAUCAGCUUGGUGGUGGGGUAGUGGCUUACCAAGGCUUUGACGGGUAGCCGGCCUGAGAGGGUGACCGGCCACACUGGGACUGAGAUACGGCCCAGACCCCUACGGGAGGCAGCAGUGGGGAAUAUUGCACAAUGGGCUGAAGCCUGAUGCAGCAACGCCGCGUGCGGGAUGACGGUCUUCGGGUUGUAAACCGCUUUCGCCUGUGACGAAGCGUGAGUGACGGUAAUGGGUAAAGAAGCACCGGCUAACUACGUG
rnacentral:rRNA from 1 species